UACGGAGGGAGCUAGCGUUGUUCGGAAUUACUGGGCGUAAAGCGCACGUAGGCGGCUUUGUAAGUUAGAGGUGAAAGCCCGGGGCUCAACUCCGGAACUGCCUUUAAGACUGCAUCGCUUGAAUUCAGGAGAGGUGAGUGGAAUUCCGAGUGUAGAGGUGAAAUUCGUAGAUAUUCGCAAGAACACCAGUGGCGAAGGCGGCUCACUGGCCCGGUACUGACGCUGAGGUGCGAAAGCGUGGGGAGCAAACAGG
rnacentral:rRNA from 1 species